GUAUGGUGCAAGCGUUAUCCGGAUUUACUGGGUGUAAAGGGAGCGCAGGCGGGAGAACAAGUUGGAAGUGAAAUCCAUGGGCUCAACCCAUGAACUGCUUUCAAAACUGUUUUUCUUGAGUAGUGCAGAGGUAGGCGGAAUUCCCGGUGUAGCGGUGGAAUGCGUAGAUAUCGGGAGGAACACCAGUGGCGAAGGCGGCCUACUGGGCACCAACUGACGCUGAGGCUCGAAAGUGUGGGUAGCAAACAGGAUUAGAUGCCCUGGUAGUCCACACCGUAAACGAUGAUUACUAGGUGUUGGAGGAUUGACCCCUUCAGUGCCGCAGUUAACACAAUAAGUAAUCCACCUGGGGAGU
rnacentral:rRNA from 1 species